CACAAAUAUUCAAAAGCAAACACAAAUAUAGAAGACAUUGACUCCUUUGAUGUAUAAUCAUCUACUAUCUCAUUUCUUAGUCUCCUGUCUAAUAUUUUGGAGUCCGCACUACUCCCUGUGUGUAUCCAGCUAUCCGAACUGGAUCAGGAUGUAGUGAAUAAAGAAACAAGUGCAUUAAGUUAAAGUGCCGCUCAGGGCCUAAUCAGUCCCAGGUCAAAUGAGGGUGGGGGAGGGGUGAUAUAUGAUUCGUACUUGGAGCUUUUCUCUGUUGUUUAUGCCAGUGAAACUGUGCACCUAAAGGCUUAGUAGCUUGUGUUUUGUUUGGUCACGCUAAGCCUCCAAUAGCAGAUAAGUGUUUAGCUGUACAUGACAGCUAAAUGUGUGUUGGGCUCCUCACACCCCGUCUACCUCACUUGAGGAUCAAUGUGGAAUCAACACUGCCUGCUGGAAUUGCAGUCUCAAGAGUCUGUGGGUUAUGAGUGUCUUGAGCCCUUCAAAGAAUAGAUUUUACGUGUUAGUCCCUUCGUGAUUCUGAAGGUUGCUGCUUGGAUUUACUGAAUGGGGAGUUCAGUGGUGAUUUCAUAUAGCUCUUUUCCGUCCUUCACGCAGUUUCCAUCUGGGGGCGUUGAGGUAGCGCUGGCAUUCGAAUAGUCUCUGUUACAUCGUACCAGUCCAUCACCUCCAUAUUUGGACGGCUUAGUUGUUUGGAGAAACCUGCGACGUCUGCUGCCGAGGAAAGAGAGAUUUGUGCACCUUGAUGAGUUGCAAUGAGGGAAAAUGGAAAUCUCCAUCGAUAUUUUAUUCCCACUUGUUGCAGUGCCUGGGUUACCGGCCUUAGUGCUCUUCUCCCUCUUAAUGUUCUAGGACAGAUCUGGUAGCAACUGUAUCUUGGCAUUAUUGUACAGAAUCCCUGAGGCAUCCCAUGUGCUUUUCAUAAUUGCCUCUUUUUCUGUAAAAUGGCAUUGAGAUCUUCAGUGGAAUCACGUACCUCAGGUAGGCCCCAUAUCCUUAUAUUAUUUCUCCAACCUCUAUUGUCCACCUCCUCCACAUUUUUCAUGUUGUACAUUAAUUUACAGUCCAGAACCUCAUGUUUUUGCUCCAGCCUGUGGAGCCUGUCUAAAAUCUGGUCUCUGCCCUCCUCCAGCUCCCCCAAUCUGUUGCCGACUUGCCUUACUUCCAUCGCCAGGGAAGAUAUCUGGUCCUGAAUGGAGGCCUCAAGCCAGGCCAGCAUGGCUGUUAUGUCAUCUUUCCACGGUAAGCUGUGCAGAAUCUCGU